rnacentral:rRNA from 1 species
ACGCUGGCGGCAGGCCUAACACAUGCAAGUCGAGCGGUAGAGAGAAGCUUGCUUCUCUUGAGAGCGGCGGACGGGUGAGUAAUGCCUAGGAAUCUGCCUGGUAGUGGGGGAUAACGUCCGGAAACGGACGCUAAUACCGCAUACGUCCUACGGGAGAAAGCAGGGGACCUUCGGGCCUUGCGCUAUCAGAUGAGCCUAGGUCGGAUUAGCUAGUUGGUGGGGUAAUGGCUCACCAAGGCGACGAUCCGUAACUGGUCUGAGAGGAUGAUCAGUCACACUGGAACUGAGACACGGUCCAGACUCCUACGGGAGGCAGCAGUGGGGAAUAUUGGACAAUGGGCGAAAGCCUGAUCCAGCCAUGCCGCGUGUGUGAAGAAGGUCUUCGGAUUGUAAAGCACUUUAAGUUGGGAGGAAGGGCAGUUACCUAAUACGUGAUUGUUUUGACGUUACCGACAGAAUAAGCACCGGCUAACUCUGUGCCAGCAGCCGCGGUAAUACAGAGGGUGCAAGCGUUAAUCGGAAUUACUGGGCGUAAAGCGCGCGUAGGUGGUUCGUUAAGUUGGAUGUGAAAUCCCCGGGCUCAACCUGGGAACUGCAUUCAAAACUGACGAGCUAGAGUAUGGUAGAGGGUGGUGGAAUUUCCUGUGUAGCGGUGAAAUGCGUAGAUAUAGGAAGGAACACCAGUGGCGAAGGCGACCACCUGGACUGAUACUGACACUGAGGUGCGAAAGCGUGGGGAGCAAACAGGAUUA